UCGUAACAAGGUUUCCGUAGGUGAACCUGCGGAAGGAUCAUUAAAUAAUCAAUAAUUUUGGCUUGUCCAUUAUUAUCUAUUUACUGUGAACUGUAUUAUUACUUGACGCUUGAGGGAUGCUCCACUGCUAUAAGGAUAGGCGGUGGGGAUGUUAACCGAGUCAUAGUCAAGCUUAGGCUUGGUAUCCUAUUAUUAUUUACCAAAAGAAUUCAGAAUUAAUAUUGUAACAUAGACCUAAAAAAUCUAUAAAACAACUUUUAACAACGGAUCUCUUGGUUCUCGCAUCGAUGAAGAACGUAGCAAAGUGCGAUAACUAGUGUGAAUUGCAUAUUCAGUGAAUCAUCGAGUCUUUGAACGCAACUUGCGCUCAUUGGUAUUCCAAUGAGCACGCCUGUUUCAGUAUCAAAACAAACCCUCUAUCCAACAUUUUUGUUGAAUAGGAAUACUGAGAGUCUCUUGAUCUAUUCUGAUCUCGAACCUCUUGAAAUGUACAAAGGCCUGAUCUUGUUUGAAUGCCUGAACUUUUUUUUAAUAUAAAGAGAAGCUCUUGCGGUAAACUGUGCUGGGGCCUCCCAAAUAAUACUCUUUUUAAAUUUGAUCUGAAAUCAGGCGGGAUUACCCGCUGAACUUAAGCA
rnacentral:rRNA from 1 species